AAAGAAUGUUAGAGGAAUUAUUGCAAACACGUGGUGAAGAGGACAUCUCUUUUGACCUUUUUGUCAGUGGCUAUGAUGUCAAUCAAGAAUAAAGCCAACGUAUCAAAGAAUCAAGCAGCAAAGGGAAUAAUUGGAACAAAAUCUUCAAAAAUUCAAGAGUCCAGAAUUAACCUAAUCUAGGUCUACUAACGCCUCCACAGAAUACUAGAUGAUCAGUGUCAUCACGUACAAUAAGCUCUAAGAAGGAUCAAAAUGCCAAAAAGAUUAUUAACAAGAAAGAAGAAUCGACACCCAGUCGACAUCGAUCAACACAAGUCGAGUCUCCAAGCAACAACAAGAGAGUAGCAAGAGGAAAGUGGCGGGCCGACGAGUAAGAGGGAAAGGAAAAUCAAUGCCAGGCAACGUGCGUUGCAAGGUGAAAUCAAAGGAGCCCGGACCAGCACCCUCCUCUUUCUCCUUCGACAGAGGAAGCCUGGUCGAUCCCACUGGUGGCGUCGUCGUUGCAAGGGAUGCCAACCCUCCUAUGUAGCCCGGUCGGAGACCAAGAGAAAACCAUAACCCGCACAACGGUCCACUUUCGAGACCUCGCUGAAUCGGAAUAUAACUAUCGAGCUCUCCCUCCUGGCCCGACCACUUCCGUGGUGACAUGAUUUCUCGCGUU